rnacentral:lncRNA from 1 species
UUAGAGGUUCUCAACUUUGGGAACUUGGAGAAUCCUUUCAACCAUCCUCAUCCAAGAAAUCCAUGCAGCUAAGAAGCAAGGAAUGAAGGCCCUCUCCUUGGGUGAUUAGCCUUUGCUUAUGCAAAGAGGAAUCAACUAAGGUAUAAGAUUUAUCAACUCACUUUGUUCUUGAGUUAAGUCUUGGUUCACCCUUCUACUAGGCUUUGAAUUUCAUGGGUAAUGUUUUGUUUUUGAGUGCAUACAAGCAUGAU